rnacentral:rRNA from 1 species
GUGCCAGCCGCCGCGGUAAUACCGGCAGCACGAGUGAUGGCCGAUAUUAUUGGGCCUAAAGCGUCCGUAGCCGGCCGGACAAGUCCGUUGGGAAAUCCACGCGCUCAACGCGUGGGCGUCCAGCGGAGACUGUCCGGCUUGGGGCCGGAAGAUCCGAGGGGUACGUCCGGGGUAGGAGUGAAAUCCUGUAAUCCUGGACGGACCGCCGGUGGCGAAAGCGCCUCGGAAGGACGGACCCGACGGUGAGGGACGAAAGCCAGGGUCUCGAACCGGAUUAGAAACCCCUGUAGUCC